CAAGCGUUGUUCGGAAUUACUGGGCGUAAAGGGCGCGUAGGCGGCCUGCUAAGUCGAACGUGAAAUCCCUGGGCUCAACCCAGGAACUGCGUCCGAUACUGGUUGGCUUGAAUCCGGGAGAGGGAUGUGGAAUUCCAGGUGUAGCGGUGAAAUGCGUAGAUAUCUGGAGGAACACCGGUGGCGAAGGCGGCAUCCUGGACCGGUAUUGACGCUGAGGCGCGAAAGCCAGGGGAGCAAACGGG
rnacentral:rRNA from 1 species